CGGAAGCGCUGACUCCCCCUGUGGUAUUUCCAGGGGCAGAGGAAGAUGGCGAAACCCAUUGGCUAGUGGGGAUCAGAAGAGGGCGGUUCACUCGGCCUGCGCGUGGGGCACUAUGGGUAUUGUAGUUCAGCGCUCCGCGGUGCAGCUUGUAGCGAGGAAUCUUGGAAGCCAGUGGGUCCAAGCUGGUCAGGGAAGCACCUUGCACGGGGGCAUUAGGUGUGAAGUAGCUGCAGGGGUGUGUCUUCGUUCUGCUAUUUCUCUUUCGGGUGAGGCCUCACUCUUUCUCGCCUUUAGGGGCCUUCACUUCAUCCCAUACUUGAGGCUGCUUUAUAAGCCCCAGUCACUUACAGAUUAUCCCUUACAAUUCCAAGCUGGUCUUGAGUUCCUCUUCUCGUCUAUCUCCCGCACAUCCAGGCCCUGGAAUUCUUCUCUGUCCUUCUUUCUCCUGUGAGUACCUUUUCUUGUUUCUGUCCUAGACAGAACCUCUCUUAACACUCUGCCCUUAACCCAUGACGCAUGUCAACAGCUCCAAUAAAAGGCUGUCACAGCAAAUGUUUGUAGGCACGAGAAGAUUUGAGCCUUCCCUUUCAGCAGUCUGGCAGCUCACUUCUUUUGUGUUUCUCUUAUGAUCAUUGCAAUUGCCUUUUUUUCUGAUGCCAUUUCUGUGUAGUCUCUGCCUAAGUCUGGCGGGCAGCCUUGGUCAUAGACGGUUCCCCUUUGGUCCUAUCACUUUGGCUCUGGCUGCCACAUUUUGGUAAUACGACAGAGGGCGCACACGUGGGUUGACUUACAGGACAGAGGAGGGAAAAAAAAAAAAAAAAAGCUGAAUAGAAACAAAAGAAUAAAUAGCAAACUAGGUUUUAUAGAAGUCAGGAAGAUAUAUGGUGAAAGAGGGGGAAGAGAGAGCAAUCCUUUCAUUUUCAUACCUCCACAAACAAUUUAGUGCUGAGUGUGAGCAGGGCUUAGUGGGCUCUGUGCUGGGAAUGCACCACUACAAACCACCUAGAUACUGGGGGAUCCAAUCCAGGAGGGCACAGACACACAAGUAAACCACAGUGCGGGAUGAUAUCAGUGUGUGCCCUACCUUCCUGUGUGUUUCUCUUUUCAUUCUCCUCCCUCCAUUAGUUCAUUCCAAAGUACUUUCUCUUUUCACAUCUUCUGUUCCAUGCUCUUCUUUCCAUUCUCAAACUCCGUUCUCCCCUUGUUCUGACCCAAGCUGUUUCUUUUGUAUUUUUCUGUUUUGCUACUUUGACAGCAGAAAGUGUUGCAAGGAAAGUCAUGCUCAUAGGGGAUUUAGUAACACGGAAUGCCUGACCUUCAUCUUUGUGUGAGAAAUAUCUAUUAAUUAUCAUCUCAUUCCAGGGCAAUCUCAGCAUUUAUACACACUGCUUGUAGUAGAAUCAAUUGCAGAUCUUUUAUACCCCUUGUGCUAGAAUCAUGGAAUGUAAUUCACAAUUGAUGUAAUUCUUAUGCUACCUGUUGAGUGAUUGGAGGAAUCUGAGGUUUGGAAGUUUAAUCUCAUGGAAACACUAGUCAGGAACGACCCUUGAUGUGUGAUGAGAAGUAGAACCCUGCAUGACUGGAGAAGAUAAGCCUUGGCCUUUUUUAAAAAAAGCAUAGCUUAGUGGAUUGACUAGGAUAGAACAGGAAUACUGCCUUGGCUAGAACAGGAAAAUUACCUUUUUGAAAGAUAUUUUUGAACUGUUAUUUCAGAAAUCUACCCUCCCCCUCAAGUCUAUUCUAAAUUGUCUUAUUGGAGACAAUAAGAUUCUUAGUGUAGGGUGGGAGUGGAUAGAUUUCCAAGUAAUAAAUAAUAAUCAUGCUUACUUAGUUUAAGAAUGUUUUGCAAUGCCUUUGAGCAGUAGAUCUACCUCUAAGAUUUUCUACAACUAAUCCUAUUCCUUUGUGUUUUUUGAGAAUGGGACUCACCAUAAAGAAGUGAAAUUUCAUCUUCAAUUACACCUAAAGAAAUUCAUAUCCAAGUCCCUACAUAAUUUGAUCCCCAGUCACCUCUCUAAUCUCAUUGCCUUACCCUUGUCCUUAUGGUCCCUCUGCUGUAGCUACCGUGGCUUUCUUGCUGUGUCAUAAACACCCUGUGCACUUUUCUGUCUGGAAUACUCUGUUUCAGGUACUUUUGUUAUGGGCUUUACUCAUAUUCAUCUCAUCAGAGAGACCUUCUCUGAUCAUCUUAUCUAAACUAGAGCCUUUAUAAGAAAAAUUACAGCCUUCAUCACUCUAUCCCUAUGUUAAGUGGUAUCACUUCUUGAAAAUAUUAUGUAUUUGUUUUCUGUCUGUUUCUCAAACUAGAAGAUAAGCUCCGUGAGAGUAUGGUUCUAAUCUGUUUCCUUGGUCCCUGGAACAUGGUGUAUAGAAAGUGCUCAUUUGUAAAAUGAAAGGAUUUUUAAAAAAGCACUAACCGAGCACUUAUGUGUAAGUCACUGUGUGUACAGUGAAUAAUGAAGGAUUUACAGAUAGAAAUAAGAUAUAGUCCUUAAUGUUGAACAAUCUGCGGUGUAGAAAGACUAUAGAAUAAUCUAAGGAUCUUUCAUUAAAUUGUAGCUGAGCAAAAAAGUCUUAAGUCUGAAGAGCCAGGGUCAGCUAAGGUGUAUUUGGUAUGUAGAAGCAUUUGUCCCUUAUAUCAUAGUUUUGAACUGGCCUCUGUGCUGCUCUAUUAUUUCUGUGACCAAUUCCUACUGUGUCCUUGUGUAGGAUGAACUUGACCAAUCAGGGACCACAUAAAAGGAGCUAUUGCUUUAUUUCUAUCUGACCUCCUAGCUGCCAUUCUCACUUCUUUUCCAGGGCAUCCAGUUCGUUUCCACCAGUGUGCCUGUCAUCAACCACAUAUCUCACAAUGUCUCCCACUUAAAACCCUUCAAGUGGCAACUUCUCAGUUGGCAUUCCAGACAUCCCCUUCUCCCCUCUCCCUACUCUGACUCCUUUUUACCUCAGCAUCAUUUUUUUCUUUUAAAUUAUUUAUUUAUAUUUGUUUGUUUAUUUGGCCGCAUCAGGUCUUAGUCGUAGCAUGCAGGAUCUUUAGCUGUGGCACAUGGGAUCUAGUUCCUUGACCAGGGGUUGAAGCUGGGCUCCCUGCAUUGGGAGCACAGAAUCUUAACCACUGGAUCACCAGGGAAGUACCCUACCUCAAUAUCUUUAUCUUCCUCAGUACUCUUCCUGAAUGUAUGACUCAGAAAUGUGAAAUUUGCAGUUCCCUAUUUGAUUUUUCUCUGUGUGUUUUCUUUGCCCAGAAUGCCCUUUCCCUUAAUUCUUACCUUACUAUAGUCGCUGGUCUUCCACAGCUUAGAGGAACCAGCCAUCUUCCAAGAAGCUUUAGCAACUCUCCUCUCCUAUCCAGGAUAGGUUUGAGAUGCUGACUCUUGGCUAUAAGGACAGUAGACCUGACCUGAGUGAAUGAUGAAUGAUUGUGUCUCUGUGUAUCUGAGAGAGAGAAGGAGAGACAAAGAAGAAGAGGAAGUGACACCAGAGAGGGACACACACAGAGAAAAGGCUACUCAAGGACACAGCAAGAAGGCAGCCAUCUGCAAGCCAGGAUGAGAGGUCUCUCUAGAAACCAAUCCUGCCAGCACCUUGAUCUUGCUUGACUUCUAGACUCCAGAAUAGUAAGAAAAUAAAUGUCAUUUGUUUAAGUCACCCAAUAUGUGGUAUUUUGUUAUUGCAGCCCUAGCAGUCUAAUACACAAAUGAAUCAUUAGAAUGACCUUGAACAUCAUGUAGUUCUUCUUGAUAAAUUCAUUUGGCCCUGGGAUAUGUGCAAACAUGUUUGUAAGCAUAAAUUUAUGUAUUACUCUUUUUAUUUUUAUUUUUUUUAAAUAUAACUUUAUUUAUUUUAAUUGGAGGUUAAUUACUAUACAGUAUUGUAUUGGUUUUGCCAUACAUCAACAUGAAUCUGCCACAGGUAUACACGUG